rnacentral:rRNA from 1 species
GACGAACGCUGGCGGCGUGCUUAACACAUGCAAGUCGAACGGUGAACCAGAGCUUGCUCUGGGGAUCAGUGGCGAACGGGUGAGUAACACGUGGGUGAUCUGCCCUGCACUUCGGGAUAAGCCUGGGAAACUGGGUCUAAUACCGGAUAGGACUCCUGGCUUCAUGGUUGGGGGUGUAAAGCUUUUGCGGUGUGGGAUGGGCCCGCGGCCUAUCAGCUUGUUGUGGGUAAUGGCCUACCAAGGCGACGACGGGUAGCCGGCCUGAGAGGGUGACCGGCCACACUGGGACUGAGAUACGGCCCAGACUCCUACGGAGGCAGCAGUGGGGAAUAUUGCACAAUGGGCGCAAGCCUGAUGCAGCGACGCCGCGUGA